rnacentral:rRNA from 1 species
AACGAACGCUGGCGGCAUGCCUAACACAUGCAAGUCGAGCGAAGCCUUCGGGCUUAGCGGCGGACGGGUGAGUAACGCGUGGGAACGUGCCCUUUGGUACGGAAUAGCCACGGGAAACUGGGAGUAAUACCGUAUGUGGUCGAGAGACGAAAGAUUUAUCGCCAAAGGAUCGGCCCGCGUUGGAUUAGUUAGUUGGUGGGGUAAUGGCCUACCAAGCCGACGAUCCAUAGCUGGUUUUAGAGGAUGAUCAGCCACACUGGGACUGAGACACGGGCCAGACUCCUACGGGAGGCAGCAGUGGGGAAUCUUAGACAAUGGGGGAAACCCUGAUCUAGCCAUGCCGCGUGAUCGAUGAAGGCCUUAGGGUUGUAAAGAUCUUACAGUGGGGAAGAUAAUGACCGUACCCACAGAAGAAGCCCCGGCUAACUCCGUGCCAGCCGCCGCGGUAAUAC